GUCUAGUAUAGCACCAUACUGUGAAACUGCGAAUGGCUCAUUAAAUCAGUUAUCGUUUAUUUGAUAGUACCUUUACCUGGAUAACCGUGGUAAUUCUAGAGCUAAUACAUGCUAAAAACCUCGACUUCGGAAGGGGUGUAUUUAUUAGAUAAAAAACCAAUGCCCUUCGGGGCUCCUUGGUGAUUCAUAAUAACUUAACGAAUCGCAUGGCCUUGCGCCGGCGAUGGUUCAUUCAAAUUUCUGCCCUAUCAACUUUCGAUGGUAGGAUAGUGGCCUACCAUGGUCUUAACGGGUAACGGGGAAUUAGGGUUCUAUUCCGGAGAGGGAGCCUGAGAAACGGCUACCACAUCCAAGGAAGGCAGCAGGCGCGCAAAUUACCCAAUCCCAAUUCGGGGAGGUAGUGACAAUAAAUACUGAUACGGGGCUCUUUCGGGUCUCGUAAUUGGAAUGAGUACAAUCUAAAUCCCUUAACGAGGAACAAUUGGAGGGCAAGUCUGGUGCCAGCAGCCGCGGUAAUUCCAGCUCCAAUAGCGUAUAUUAAAGUUGUUGCCGUUAAAAAGCUCGUAGUUGAACCUUGGACCUGGCUGAUCUGUCCUCCUAAUCGAGCGCACGGAUUCGGUCGGGUCUUUCCUUCUGGGGAGCCCUAUGCCCUUCACUGGGUGUAGUGGGGAACCAGGACUUUUACCUUGAAAAAAUUAGAGUGUUCAAAGCAGGCCUUUGCUCGAAUACAUUAGCAUGGAAUAAUAGAAUAGGACAUCGGUUCUAUUUUGUUGGUUUCUAGGACCGCUGUAAUGAUUAAUAGGGAUAGUCGGGGGCGUCAGUAUUCAAUUGUCAGAGGUGAAAUUCUUGGAUUUAUUGAAGACUAACUACUGCGAAAGCAUUCGCCAAGGAUGUUUUCAUUAAUCAGUGAACGAAAGUUAGGGGAUCGAAGACGAUCAGAUACCGUCGUAGUCUUAACCAUAAACUAUGCCGACUAGGGAUCGGACGGUGGUUUUUUUAUGCCCCGUUCGGCACCUUACGAGAAAUCAAAG
rnacentral:rRNA from 2 species